rnacentral:lncRNA from 1 species
GGGUGGAGUAUGAUGUUUUUUGAGUACCACCGGGACACCAGAGGUAUGAAUCACUUGCCUCUGCAAUUGUCAGUGUUAGAAGAUAAGAGUAGAGUCUCACUUGUUUCUCGGAUCUUGCAGGAGGCAAAACCCAGUGAUCAAUCUCCCAUAGUUCCGUCAAAGUAGAGGUCGAGGGAAUGCCUGUUCUGGAAGCAGGCUCGUCCUUCAAGAAAGCAGUUAAUUUACCAAACGGUGACCAGUUGUAGGACCAGAAGUAAGUAGUUUCUCCAUUGCCAACAGCUCUUGUUAUCCAGCUAUAAGCGUGGUCCCUGAGUAGUAUGAGUUGGUUAGCCUGCCAGGAGUGCUUUUGUUUAGUAUUGAUGACCCAAAACUUGUUCAGGUCCCCUUGCAGGAUCUCUGUAAUGAACCAAUCCGACCAG